GUGCAUAGGAUUGGCUUAGGAGAGCAACUCCUAUUGACAUCAAAGAGAAUAUGGAGGAAUUAGAAAUGAUGGAAAAAGAGUUAAUAGAAGAAUUUGGUAACCAUAAAGCCCAGAAUAUUGGCAAAGGAAAAGGGAAAGAAAAAGAGGCUUCCACUGCAAAAACACAAGCACAAGCAACACCAAUAGGAAGCAACUCCAAGUCGAUCUCCAAACCUGGGUCAUCUACAUCUUAAAAAGGGUGGUGCAGUGGUGCUGCUGGACAGAUGGAGAACUGGGUGGUUUGGACUUUGGAAGCGAAUCUGUCUUAGUCAUGUAGUUUUUUCAUCUACGAUUUGAUUUGUGUGCUUCAAAACUAUGCUUAUUAAUUGUGAUAUGUGAAGUGUGAACUGUCACGGUUUGGACGUGUGAAGUGUUAGUUAAUUUCGUUUGAACUGUCAGUUUGGACGUGUGAACUGGAUGUAUGGUUGGGUGUAUUUGAUUUGAUUUUAUACUGCA